AAAAGCACUUUGAAGAGAGAGUUAAAGAGGACGUGAAACCGAUAAGAUGGAAACGGAUAGAGCUGACGUAUCUAGCUUGUAUUCAGCUGUUCGCCCGACCGGAGUUGAUUCUUUUAGUCCCGCUUUAACGGCUAAAAUAAUUGGCUGCCGUUUCGCAACCGGCCGGUUACGAGCAGUGCAUUUGCAAGUGGAGUGCGCCGAGGCGUGUUGGCUAGCGAUUGGAAGCCAGUCUAGAGGAUACUUGCUUUACGGCUAGUAAACCCUGGGCCGGUGAAAGAUUGUUUAGUUGGCAUUGCAGUUUCGCGGUUACGGCCUACGUGCACAAGUUAAGUUGGGUUAGAUGUCUGGUGGCGGUCGCAUGCGACACGUGCCUGUUCUAUUUGGCUAACUUAGCUUGGGUACUCGUAACCCGGACCUCGGUGUAAAAGUCGGUCAUCUAUCCGACCCGUCUUGAAACACGGACCAAGGAGUUUAGCGUGUGCGCGAGUCAUUGAGUGUUGAAAACUCAAAGGCGUAAUGAAAGUAAAGGCUUCUUUAAUGUUGCUUAUAUGCGAUCCGGUUGGCUACGGCUUGCCGGCGCAGCAUAGCCCCGCUCUGAUUGCUUGCAAUAGGGCGGAGGUAGAGCGUAUGCGCUGAGACCCGAAAGAUGGUGAACUAUGCCUGAGCAGGAUGAAGCCAGAGGAAACUCUGGUGGAAGUCCGAAGCGGUUCUGACGUGCAAAUCGAUCGUCUGACUUGGGUAUAGGGGCGAAAGACUAAUCGAACCAUCUAGUAGCUGGUUCCCUCCGAAGUUUCCCCCAGGAUAGCUGGAGCUCGUUUGAAAUAGUUAUACUCGGUAAAGCGAACGAUUAGAGGACUUGGGAUUGAAAUGAUCUUAACCUAUUCUCAAACUCUCAAUGGGUAUGAAGUCCGAGUUUCUUGAUUCCCGAACUCGGACGUUGAAUAAUUGAGCUCCAAGUGGGCCAUUUUUGGUAAGCAGAACGGCGAUGUGGGAUGAACCAAACGCGGGGUUAAAGUGCCAAAGUUUCCGCUCAUUAGACCCCAUAAAAGGUGUUGGUUGAUAUAGACAGCAGGACGGUGCCCAUGGAAGUUGGAAUCCGCUAAGGAGUGUGUAACAACUCACCUGCCGAAUCAACUAGCCCUGAAAAUGGAUGGCGCUGGAGCGGAACACUUAUACUCCGCCGUUAGCUAGCUUGGAACGGGUUCUAAACCCUUCUGGCUCUAACGUGUAGGAGGGUCGUAACGGUUUGCGUUGAAGGCUUAGGGCGUGGGCCCAGCUGGAGCUUCCG
rnacentral:rRNA from 1 species